GCAACUCUGAUCAUGCCACAAUUUCAUCACCGCUAGCCUACACAGCUCAACAGGAUAGUCCAACUACAGUGUCCAUGCCUGAAAGCUUUAAUGGAAUACAAGCAUUUAAUUCGACCUUGGCAAGCAGUUUCUUGGUUGGUGAACCUUGCUCCAGUAUCUACCCUGGUGAUUAUGAUUGGGGUUCCAAUGGUUCAUUGGAUUCACUAGGGAUGACUGAUUAUCUACCUCCUAACAACAAUUAUCAGUUUGAGACACCAGUGUGGCAAGGGAAUGAAUUGUUAGCGAGUUCAAGUGUUCAGCCGGUGUCUCCUAAUAUUGGCUUUCACAUCACAAGACGUGGAAAUCCUAGAGCCAUAUGGUGCACAAUCCGUGCUGUUCUGAAAUGGAAAACAUUGGUUAAGAGAAAAUAGCUAUUUGAAGAUUGGAAAGGCUUUUACAAGUAGAUAUCUGAAGUUUGUUCGAGAUAUAACCAGCAAACUUCACCUCCAUCUCUCAGCCUAUUCUUUGACAAUUUUAAAACAUAAAUAUAUUUAUAUGUCCAUUACAUAUAGCAUCCA
rnacentral:misc_RNA from 1 species